GCCAGUCGGCAAAACGCGUCAGCAGUGACACAGGAGUGUGGAAGCGGCAGCCGGAGACCGGAGGCAAACGUGUUGGAUUGAUAAAGACGCUAAAGAACUCGGAGCAAUAUACGGAAUACGAUUUUACUGAAGAAACAUUUGUGGAAAUUGGCGAUAUGACAAUGGACUGGAUAUGCCAUGAAUCUUUAAAAAUCGACUAACGUCGGGAAAAAAAUUUUUUGUAUAAUGCUGGACUUUUUUUGAUAUAUAUUUUUUCUUUUCUUACUUAUGUCUUAAUACCAGCAUACUUCUGAAGGAUUGUAUGUACACUUUCACUAAGUUUUAUAAAAAAAAAAUUUAUGUGUAUGGUCGACAAUUUUAAUAUAUUUUAUUCCACAUACUGCUGUAUUUUAUACUAACACUGUUAAUAGACACUUUAACAUGAAACAUGGAGGUUUUGAACUUUAACCUUGUAAUUAACGGGUGGGAUUCAAACAGGAUGUGUUUAAAAAGUCACUUUGUUUCCAUUUUGUUACACUUGAUAAAGGGCGUUUGAGGCCCGAAACAUGUAGUGUUUUGUAGCUGCUAAUAAACUACAUUGUUGCAGA